GGGUUCCAAUAGCUAAAUGUAGUGUUAAUAAGUGGGGGUUGGUUGGAAGAGGUAGGUCACUGGGGGUGUGACCUAGUAGAGUGGAUCUGCCUCCCCAUUUUCUCCUCUUCACUCUCUGCUACCUGUUUGUCAUGCCCUGAGCAGCUCUCCUCUGCUGUGCCCCUCUGCCCACUAUGGACUGAAACAUGAACCAAAACAAACCUCUCCUCCCUUAAAUUCAUCUCUUUCUGAUGUUGGCAGAGACUCAAGCGAGAAACUUUCCAGGCAUUUGGAAGCUGUCACCUUUUGUUUCAAGAGUAUGGGGCAAGAGAUGUGGAGCAACAUUUCCCAGUACUGGGGAUUGAACCCAGGGCCUUGUGCAUGUGAGCUAUGGGGAUCAAAUUCAAGGUCGUACAAAUAUCAAGGAAAUGUUUUACCAAAUUCUGACAGAAAAUUAUUCUGAAUUCAGAAUUUAUACCUCAUGAAGUAUCACUUAAAUAUUCUGAAUCCAGGAUUCCAUACCCAGUUCAUCCACAAUGAAGUGAGAGCAACAUUAACAUGUAUUCACACAUGCAAAGAUUCGAAAAGUUUGCCAUCCAGGAAUGCUUUCUGCAAGAGACACAUGAAGAUCCACCAAGAGAAGGUAAAGAAGGAGGAAGAAGAGAGGGGAAAGAGGAAGACAUGGGCUACAAGCAACAUGGUUAGCAAGAAACCAAUAAAACUGCAAAAUAACUGGAGAAAGUAUGUUUUGAAGGUUGUGUGUUGGCUGAGGUCGCUGAUAAUAAGGGGUCUUCGCUGUCAGCUGGCUUUUAUCAAUGAGGAUCUGGAGCUCAGCCUUCACAGCCUUUGGGCCUCCUCAACAGUGGUGCUGGCCCUGCUGAUUUGCUUCUGAGGUCUGGCUGCUUUCUCGUCAGGGCAGUGAGUGGCUGUGAAGCUGCUCAGCUGAUCCUGGGUCCGGAAGUGGGCUCCAGUGGACUUCCUGUCAGGGUUUGUGGAACAAACAGACCAGCAGCUGAGGCUUCCUCUGAGGCAGAUGACUGGGGGGGGGGAGCGGGAGGGAGGCAAACAGAGAGAGGUCGAGACAGAGACAGACAGAGAGAGAACCCAAACUGUUUCACUUGGUGUUGUCCCCACCCCAUCAUUUUAGGUC
ensembl:lncRNA